GAUGAACGCUGGCGGCGUGCCUAAUACAUGCAAGUCGAGCGAACGGACGAGAAGCUUGCUUCUCUGAUGUUAGCGGCGGACGGGGGAGUAAAACGUGGAUAACCUACCUAUAAGACUGGGAUAACUUCGGGAAACCGGAGCUAAUACCGGAUAAUAUUUUGAACCGCAUGGUUCAAAAGUGAAAGACGGUCUUGCUGUCACUUAUAGAUGGAUCCGCGCUGCAUUAGCUAGUUGGUAAGGUAACGGCUUACCAAGGCAACGAUGCAUAGCCGACCUGAGAGGGUGAUCGGCCACACUGGAACUGAGACACGGUCCAGACUCCUACGGGAGGCAGCAGUAGGGAAUCUUCCGCAAUGGGCGAAAGCCUGACGGAGCAACGCCGCGUGAGUGAUGAAGGUCUUCGGAUCGUAAAACUCUGUUAUUAGGGAAGAACAUAUGUGUAAGUAACUGUGCACAUCUUGACGGUACCUAAUCAGAAAGCCACGGCUAACUACGUG
rnacentral:rRNA from 1 species